CAUGACCGUGAUCAGACCCUUCUGAAUUGUUUCCGCGUUACAUAGCUGUUCGUAGAACAUCAUCUUGGUCUGUGCUGCUUUCUUUAUCUCAGGGUUUUUGGCAAAGUCACGUAACUGUACAUAUCGGAAUAUGUCUUUAGUGGUUAGGGGUGCCAUUGUUUUUAGGGUGUCAAAGGUUUUGAAGGUGUCGCCGUCAUACAUGUGCCCAUAUCGUUGCAUCCCCAUUGUUUCUAUCCCCCUAAAGUCUCGUGCGCUCAGCCCGGGCUCAAAUGCCUUGUUCCGCAAAUACGGAGUCAGUGGUGAGGGUGUUUGUUUCAGUGCGUAUUUGGUAGCCGUUAGAUGCCAUAUCCGUAUAGAGUUAAGGAUCGCCGGGCAUGUGGUACGUAAGGGUGGUCUAUCUUGUUUAGGCACCCAGAUCCAGAACUGAGGCAGGUCUGUGCUCAUUAGCUUCGUCUCUAAAUCUACCCACCUAUGUGUGCCCUCUGGUGUGUGCCAUGCGACGAUUUGGGCUAGCUGAGCUGCUAAAUAGUAUUGGGAGUCCUAGCCCACCCCUAGUUUUUGGUUGGUACCGUACCUGUCUGGCUUUCCUGUGCCUCUUUUGUGCCCAUAUAAAAUUGUCAAUGUGC